rnacentral:rRNA from 1 species
CAAGUCGAACGAGUAGCAAUACUAGUGGCAGACGGGUGAGUAACAUGUAGGUAUCUGCCCUUUGGCCUGGAAUAACACGAGGAAACUUGUGCUAAUACCGGAUAAGUCUUUACGGAGAAAGCUUUAUGCACCAUUGGAUGAGCCUGCACUUGAUUAGUUUGUUGGUGGGGUAAUGGCCUACCAAGACUGUGAUCAAUAGCUGAUUUGAGAGGAUGAUCAGCCACAUUGGGACUGAGACACGGCCCAAACUCCUACGGGAGGCAGCAGUGGGGAAUCUUGCACAAUGGAGGAAACUCUGAUGCAGCGAUGCCGCGUGAGUGAAGAAGGCCUUUGGGUUGUAAAGCUCUUUCGUCGGGGAAGAAAAUGACUGUACCCGAAUAAGAAGGUCCGGCUAACUUCGUGCCAGCAGCCGCGGUAAUACGAAGGGACCUAGCGUAGUUCGGAAUUACUGGGCUUAAAGAGUUCGUAGGUGGUUGAAAAAGUUGGUGGUGAAAUCCCAGAGCUUAACUCUGGAACUGCCAUCAAAACUUUUCAGCUAGAGUAUGAUAGAGGAAAGCAGAAUUUCUAGUGUAGAGGUGAAAUUCGUAGAUAUUAGAAAGAAUACCAAUUGCGAAGGCAGCUUUCUGGAUCAUUACUGACACUGAGGAACGAAAGCAUGGGUAGCGAAGAGGAUUAGAUACCCUCGUAGUCCAUGCCGUAAACGAUGUGUGUUAGACGUUGGAAAUUUAUUUUCAGUGUCGCAGCGAAAGCGAUAAACACACCGCCUGGGGAGUACGACCGCAAGGUUAAAACUCAAAUGAAUUGACGGGGACCCGCACAAGUAGUGGAGCAUGUGGUUAAUUCGAAGAUACGCGCAGAACCUUACCAACACUUGACAUGUUCGUCGCGACUUUAGAGAUAAAGUUUCGGUUCGGCCGGACGAAACACAGUGCUGCAUGCUGUCGUCAGCUCGUGUCGUGAGAUGUGGUAGUCCCGCACGAGCGCACCUCACUUUAGUGCAUCAUUAGUGGCACUCUGAAGACUGCAGUGAUAGCUGGAGAAGGUGGGGAUGACGUCAAGUCCUCAUGGCCUUACGUGUUGGGCUACACACGUGCUACAAUGUAUCUACCACAGGAGUCAGACGGCGACGUAGCAAAUCCUUAAAGAACCUCAGUUCGAAUGACUCUGCACUCAAGGGAUGAACCGGAAUAAUUAAAUACCGGGAUAACCGACCAGCGAAGGGAGUUCCUGGUG